CCUAAAAUCUAGCCCAUGAAACCCCAAUGAAACCUUCAACCUGCUGCCAAUUAACAAACCAUUCUUUUAUUCUAGUACAGGAGAUCAAAAAAUUCAUAGGCGCUUUAGACAAAGUACCGCAAGGGAAUGAUGAAAUAUAAAUGAAAUAAUCUCAAGCUAAACACAGCAGAGACACCCCCUCGUACCUUUUGCAUCAUGGUCUAGCUAGUCUAACCAAGCAAAAAGAAAAUUUAAGUUUAACAUCCCGAAACUAGACGAGCUACUUCAAAACAGCUCCCAGAGCUAACCCGUCUCUGUUGCAAAAGAGUGGGAAGAUUUUUAAGUAGAGGCGAUAAACCUAACGAGCCUAGAGAUAGCUGGUUGUUCAGGAAAAGAGUUUUAGCUCUACCUUAAGUUUUCUUGUUACACCAACAACCUCCCUAAACUUAAGAGCUAUUCAAGUAAGGCACAGCUUAUUUGAAACAGGACACAACCUAAACCACAGGGUAAACAAGGGUAAACUAAACAAAGUGGGCCUAAAAGCAGCCAUCUUUUAAAAAGCGUUAAAGCUUAAUUAUUUUUACCCAUAAUUCUUUCAUCUCCUUUGAACCCUUAACCCCUACUGAACCACUUUAUAUUUUUAUAAAAACAAUUAUGCUAGAACUAGUAACAAGAAAUUGUAUUUCUCCAAAAUGUAAGCACAAACCAAAACGGACCCUCCAUUGGUACCUAACGUAAAUGUCCAUCCUAUAACAACUUCCACCAAGAAAACCCUAUAAUUCAUAACGUUAACCUUACACCAGAACAUUUAAGGAAAGAUUAAAAGAGAAAGAAGGAACUCGGCAAACUUUAGCCCCGCCUGUUUACCAAAAACAUCGCCUCUUGAAAAUAUAAGAGGUCCAGCCUGCCCAGUGACAAAGUUCAACGGCCGCGGUACCCUAACCGUGCGAAGGUAGCAUAAUCACUUGUUCUUUAAAUAGGGACUAGUAUCAAAGGCACCACGAGGGCCAUACUGUCUCCUUUCUCCAAUCAGUGAAACUGAUCUCCCCGUGAAGAAGCGGGGAUAUAACUAUAAGACGAGAAGACCCCAUGGAGCUUUAAGUAAUGUGUUCACCCUUAUGUUUAUGUAUCAACUUAACAAAAAACUCUGAAUACUAGCUUUAGGUUGGGGGGACCGCGGAGCAUAAUACAACCUCCACGACAAAAGGGCCCCGCCCUAAUCCAUGAGUUACAACUCUAAGAAUCAACAAACUGAUGUUUUAUGACCCGAUAAUUCGAUCAACGAACCAAGUUACCCUGGGGAUAACAGCGCAAUCUACUUCAAGAGCCCUUAUCGACAAGUAGGUUUACGACCUCGAUGUUGGAUCAGGGUAUCCCAGUGGUGCAGCCGCUA
rnacentral:rRNA from 1 species